AGUGGCGAACGGGUGAGUAAUGCAUCGGAACGUACCGUGUAGUGGGGGAUAACGUAGCGAAAGUUACGCUAAUACCGCAUACGCCCUGAGGGGGAAAGUGGGGGACCGCAAGGCCUCACGCUAUAUGAGCGGCCGAUGUCGGAUUAGCUAGUUGGUAGGGUAAAGGCCUACCAAGGCGACGAUCCGUAGCGGGUCUGAAAGGAUGAUCCGCCACACUGGGACUGAGACACGGCCCACACUCCUACGGGAGGCAGCAGUGGGGAAUUUUGGACAAUGGGCGCAAGCCUGAUCCAGCCAUGCCGCGUGAGUGAAGAAGGCCUUCGGGUUGUAAAGCUCUUUCAGACGGAAAGAAAUCUCUCGGGAUAACACCCUGGGAGGAUGACGGUACCGUAAAAAGAAGUACCGGCUAACUACGUGCCAGCAGCCGCGGUAAUACGUAGGGUGCGAGCGUUAAUCGGAAUUACUGGGCGUAAAGCGUGCGCAGGCGGUGAUGUAAGACAGAUGUGACCUCCCCGGGCUCAACCUGGGAACUGCGUUUGUGACUGCAUCACUCGAGUACGGCAGAGGGGAGGUGGAAUUCCGCGUGUAGCAGUGAAAUGCGUAUAUAUGCGGAGGAACCACCGAAUGGCGAAGGCAGCCUCCUGGGCCAGUACUGACGCUCAUGCACGAAAGCGUGG
rnacentral:rRNA from 1 species